AUUGAACGCUGGCGGCAGGCCUAACACAUGCAAGUCGAACGGUAACAGGAAGACGCUUGCUUCUUUGCUGACGAGUGGCGGACGGGUGAGUAAUGUCUGGGAAACUGCCUGAUGGAGGGGGAUAACUACUGGAAACGGUAGCUAAUACCGCAUAACGUCGCAAGACCAAAGAGGGGGACCUUCGGGCCUCUUGCCAUCGGAUGUGCCCAGAUGGGAUUAGCUAGUAGGUGGGGUAACGGCUCACCUAGGCGACGAUCCCUAGCUGGUCUGAGAGGAUGACCAGCCACACUGGAACUGAGACACGGUCCAGACUCCUACGGGAGGCAGCAGUGGGGAAUAUUGCACAAGGGGCGCAAGCCUGAUGCAGCCAUGCCGCGUGUAUGAAGAAGGCCUUCGGGUUGUAAAGUACUUUCAGCGGGGAGGAAGGGAGUAAAGUUAAUACCUUUGCUCAUUGACGUUACCCGCAGAAGAAGCACCGGCUAACUCCG
rnacentral:rRNA from 1 species